rnacentral:rRNA from 1 species
AUUGAACGCUGGCGGAAUGCUUUACACAUGCAAGUCGAACGGUAGAGGGGGCAACCCCUUGAGAGUGGCGAACGGGUGAGUAAUAUAUCGGAACGUGCCCAGUCGUGGGGAUAACGUAGCGAAAGUUACGCUAAUACCGCAUACGAUCUAAGGAUGAAAGCGGGGGAUCGCAAGACCUCGCGCGAUUGGAGCGGCCGAUAUCAGAUUAGGUAGUUGGUGAGGUAAAGGCUCACCAAGCCAACGAUCUGUAGCUGGUCUGAGAGGACGACCAGCCACACUGGAACUGAGACACGGUCCAGACUCCUACGGGAGGCAGCAGUGGGGAAUUUUGGACAAUGGACGCAAGUCUGAUCCAGCCAUUCCGCGUGCAGGAUGAAGGCCCUCGGGUUGAAACUGCUUUUGUACGGAACGAAAGGUUUCUAUUAAUACUAGGAGCUCAUGACGGUACCGUAAGAAUAAGCACCGGCUAACUACGUGCCAGCAGCCGCGGUAAA